rnacentral:lncRNA from 1 species
UGUGAUGUUUGUUGGGGUAUAGGCUAGUUUUAUGCCCCUAUAUGUUUGAAAAUGUGUUUAUGCAUGUUUUAGAAUAGAUGAAUGUGUGUUGGGAAGUUUGGAUGGCUGAAUGUGGGAUGGCAGAAUCGGGUUCUGCCGCCCAGGAGGAUCCAGGUUCGGCCGCCGAACCUGCUAGAGGAGGCAGUUUUGGCCGCCUAAGCUCGCCCCCGAAAGUUUGGACUUUCGGCUCUAGAAGGGAGUUUCGGCCGCCGAACCUGCCCCCGAAGGUUUGGACUUUCGGAUCUGGAGGAAGUUUCGGCCGCCGAACCUGCCCCC